rnacentral:rRNA from 1 species
AUCAUGGGUCAUGGUGGGCAACCCAGUCCUAGCAAGGCAGCGUGUGGGAAGAAGGUCAUCGAUUUGUAAAGAAUGUUUAGUAGGGAGGAAGGGCUUUAGGCUAAUACCCACAAGUUUUGUCAUUCGCAACUGUUGAAGUACCGGCAAACUCUGUGUCAGCCGCCGCGGUAAUACGUAGGGUGCAAGCGUUAAUCGAAAUUACUGGGCGUAAAGGGCGCGUAGGAGUUUCAGUAAGAUGAGUGUGAAAUCCCCGGGCUUAACCUGGGAACUGCUUUCAUAACUGCUGAGCUAGAGUACGGUAGAGGGUAGUGGAAUUUCCUGUGUAGCGGUGAAAUGCGUAGCUAUAGGAAGGAACACCAGUGGCGAAGGCGACUACCUGGACUGAUACUGACACUGAGGUGCGAAAGCGUGGGGAGCAAAC